rnacentral:tRNA from 1 species
GCUCAGUAGGUUAAGUGUCUGACUCUUGAUUUCUGCUCAGGUCAUGAUCUCAUGGUUCGUGGGUUCGAGCCCCACAUGGAGCU